CCGGAGAAUGUUAUCACGGGAGACACACGGCGGGUGCUAACGUCCGUCGUGAAGAGGGAAACAACCCAGACCGCCAGCUAAGGUCCCAAAGUCAUGGUUAAGUGGGAAACGAUGUGGGAAGGCCCAGACAGCCAGGAUGUUGGCUUAGAAGCAGCCAUCAUUUAAAGAAAGCGUAAUAGCUCACUGGUCGAGUCGGCCUGCGCGGAAGAUGUAACGGGGCUAAACCAUGCACCGAAGCUGCGGCAGCGAACGUAUCACUUAAAGCGAUUCAGCGGAUGACGAUUGACGGAGCGAAGCGACGUCAAAGCGUAUACAAAGUCGAGUCGGUUUAAGGAUACGUUCGUUGGGUAGGGGAGCGUUCUGUAAGCCUGCGAAGGUGGCCUGUGAGGGUUGCUGGAGGUAUCAGAAGUGCGAAUGCUGACAUAAGUAACGAUAAAGCGGGUGAAAAGCCCGCUCGCCGGAAGACCAAGGGUUCCUGUCCAACGUUAAUCGGGGCAGGGUGAGUCGACCCCUAAGGCGAGGCCGAAAGGCGUAGUCGAUGGGAAACGGGUUAAUAUUCCCGUACUUGGUGUUACUGCGAAGGGGGGACGGAGAAGGCUAUGUUGGCCGGGCGACGGUUGU
rnacentral:rRNA from 2 species